rnacentral:lncRNA from 1 species
GAACCAGUAGAAGAUCCCAGUAGAACCCAUUUCCCCGCCUCCUCCCACACCAGUAUGGACCAGUAUGGACCAGUAUAAACCAGUAUGGACCAGUAUAAACCAGUAUGGACCAGUAUGGGCACAUAGUGCUCAAUAGAGACCCAUAGGAACCAGUAGAACCCAGUAAGAACCAGUAGAAGAUCCCAGUAGAACCCAUUCCCCCGCCUCCUCCCACACCAGUAUGGACCAGUCCAUCCCAGUAUAAACCAGUCCCUCCCAGUCCCAUCCAAAUCCCUUCCCAGUUCCCCCCAGUUCCCUCCCAGUCCCUCCCAGUCCCUCCCAGUCCCUCCCAGUCUGUCCCAGUAUAAACCAGUCCCUCCCAGUCCCAUCCAAAUCCCUUCCCAGUUCCCCCCAGUCUCCUCCCAGUCCAUCCCAGUUUGUCCCAGUUCCCUCCCAGUCCCUCCCAGUUCCGUCCCAGUCCCUCCCAGUCCAUCCCAGUAUAAACCAAUAAGAACCAGUAUGUCCCAGUCCCUCCCAGUCCCUCCCAGUCCCUCCCAGUUCCCUCCCAGUCCCUCCCAGUCCCUCCCAGUAUAACCCAGUAUGUCCCAGUCCCUCCCAGUGCCUCCCAGUUCCCUCCCAGUCCCCCCCAGUUCCAUCCCAGUCCCUCCCA